GAACUUGAUAUGUCCAGGCUGGCCCUGGACUCAGGGAAAUCCUCUUCUCUCUGCCUCCUGAGCGCUGGGAUCAAAGACACGCACCACAACUCCUGGCUAAAGGGAUUUUGUGGCUGUCCCACAUGCAUAAACCCAAGGUGUGUCCCCAAAUUCCACCUGUGACCCAUUACUGCAGACCUACUCCUGAUGGCUGGAGAGACGAGGAGAUGAGAAGUUCCUUUCCAGACAACUUGCAGUCACCGGGUGCAUGGUGGUGUGUGGGGGUAGGGUGGAUGACCUGGGGACACCCACCACUAGUGACUUCUGGCUCCUGUCAGCCCCUCCCCUCUGGCUUUGGCUGAUCUUCCACUUAGUGUCCAGGAUGCCCAUCUCUUCCCUGGCCCUUGGAGACCUGAGGUCUGGAGAGCAGUGACCUUUGCAGGUGACAGUGUUGGACCAGGUGGGGCCCUGGGGUCUAAGUGCUGACUGAGUGUUCCGCUGAGCGCUGGCUGAUGUCUGUGACAGGUGUCAGUGCAGGGAUAGGACAGCACAGGGUGGGGAGGGCUGCCUGUCACCCAUCUCCAGGUCCUGAGCAAACCACCACUAUCACCUCAGUCUCUGGGUGUGGUUAUUAGGACUUGGGGUGUGUGGGUUUUGGUGAGGUCACAGUCCUAGGGUUAAGUGUGGGGCAGGAGAGUCAACAAGAAAAGCUGAGAAUCUGGUUCGGUGGAUAAAGUGUUUGUCUCGAGUGCGUGGGGACCUUGGUCAGAAUCCCUAGGACUCAACUCAACUGAGGCACAGCAGUGUCUGUAUGGAGUCUGGAAAUCCAGCCAGGCAGGGGACCUUAUGCUCUGCUAGGUCCCACAGGCCAAGUUCUUCAGGAUCUGGGGACAAUAGAGCUGAGGGGUCAGCCACGAGGCCCCACUGCUGGCUCUGGGGCUUGUGAGUGUCCCUAUCAGCACGGUAACCCAUACGGGAGACAGAGGAACCUUGAGCUCAUUUUGUGGGGAUGUCUGGCUGGGUGUUCUGUGUGGGGCAUUCUGGAAGGUGCUGAGUAGUGUCCCACUCUGUGUCUGGAGCUCCCCCAAUGUGACACUUGUCCCCAGCCCCCACCGAGAACCUUCACGAGGACACAAUCACCAACCUGAGGUUUUUGUUUGUUUGUUUGUUGAGACAGAGUCUCAUGUAGCUCCAACUCACUAUGUAGCCACAGAUGACCUUGAAAUUUUGAUCCUCCUGCCUCCACCUCCAAGUGAGUGCUGGGUUGGUAGAUAUGUCAGAAUGCCCAGCUCUAAUCCACCUUUUUUUGUGACAGACCUUGGACAAGGGACUCCAUCUUCCCUGAGCCUCAGUAUUCUUAGCCAUGUAGAGGAAUCCAUUUUAUACACUGUUCCUCUGGGCGUCAAUGUCAGGGUGUCCUGUGUCUGUCCUGGACCGUCCUAUGGCCCAGUUAGGGAUGCUGGUAAUGUCUGGAGUGUUUGUGGGGGAGCUUGCUUCUCUCUGAGUGGGUGGGAGAGGCACACGUCACUAACAGAGGCCAGCAGAGGCCUCGGCUUGGCCAGCUUGCUAGGAGAAGGUUGGGGUAGGCAGGUGACCCUGGAACCUUCUGUCCCUCUGGAAAGGCUUCGAGGGGCUUUCCCCAGCAUGCUAGGACCCAAAGGAGGCCCCAAGGGCAGGGCUUCUUGGCAAGGCUCUGCUUGACAGACAGAACACGGGUCAGAAACCUACCUCUUCUGAGUCAUCCCAGGCCUCUGGAACACGCAAUAAACCCAUCCCGACACAGGUGCACCCGCCUGGUGAGCCGAGGGUGGGGUCCCUGAGGACAUGGGAUGUUCUGGGGAGACUGGGCAAGCCAGUGACUCUGAUGCUGGUCCCAGCAUUUAAAAUGUUCAUAUUACAUUGGUGUGUACAUGUGUGUGUGUGGGGGGGGCACGUGAACAUGCCACAGCACAUGUGUAGAGGUCAGUGGAUACCUUGUAGGAAUGGUUUCCUUCUUCUCCCAUAAGGGCCUUGAAGAUGGAACUCAUGUCAUCAGACUUGGCAGCAAGCUCCUUUACCUACUGGGCCCUCUUGCUGCCCCCAGUUUAUUUUUUACUUUUUUUUUUCAUUAGGUGUAUAGAUAUUUUGCCUGCAUUUUUGUCUGUGUACCACAUGUGUGCAGUACCCACAGGGGCCGGAAAGAUGUCCUCUGGAGCUGGAAUUACAAGUGCAUGUGAGCCACCCUGAGGGUGUUGGAGACUGAUUCCCGUCCUCUGCAAGAGCAGCCACUGAGCCAUCCUUCCAGCCCCAAGUUCAUUCUUUAUUCUAUGAAUCAUGUCUACGGUGCCUGAGUGGCCAGGCUCUGGCUGCCUUGAAGUCAUCUCCCUUAUGUCCCUGUCUCAUGCUGAACUAUUUUGGGGGACGUGACCAGCAGAUGAGUCUGGCCACAGUUGUGCCUGGGACAAAGGCCUGGGUUUGGCAAGCAUAAACCCUGUUCCAGUCCUGUGCUUUCAGCCUCUGCUUAACCUUGACGCUGCGACCCUACAGGGAAGCUCCUCACGUUGGUCACAGGACUUCUACAGCUGGGGAGAUGACAGAUGUCUGCAUUGCUACCUGUGGGUGUGGGGACACCCCACAUCUGUCACGCAGAAGUCUCUGGCUUUUCUUCUGACCUGGGAAGGAGGAACUCCGGCUGCGGUGGCCGUGUGCUGUGAACAGAAAGAACCCGUGCUGGUACACCAGGCAUGUGCUGCCACCCAGCGAGGCCAGCAGUCUACCAACUGAGCUAACUGCCAGCUGCCGCCCUUCCAAGCCCAAGCCCGGAAGAUGUGAGUAGCUCGGGGUGAGAUUUCUGACCCACAACACCUCCCAUCCCAGCACUGGAGACUGAAGCAUGGAUUCUGAGGCCAGCCUGGGCUACCAAAGAAGACUGUGUUUUAAAAAGAAAAAGAAAAAAAGAAAAUUAAAAUGGACGAACCCUCAAGUGCUUAGAGAGUGGCAGGGGGCCUACUGGGCUCUGCCCACUGCUACAAUGCUUCCUCUUUGAGGUCACUAGGCUACUACCCAGUCGUUGAAGAGGAGUAUAGCUCUGACACCAUGCCAGCGGUUUAAACUGGAUACAGGAGAACUCGCAUGUAAGAUCCACUUCCAGAAGGUCCCAAGAGCACAGAGAUGGGGUGGGAAGUGAAUGGGGACCUCGAACCCUUGUCCCCAUCCAGGGGUGGGAGGGGAUUAGUGUAGGACGGGAGCAGGGCAUCUUAGUGCAUUAUGGAAAGCUCUGAAGUGGGGGAGUCCAGUGACUGCUCUGCUGUCCACAGCCAUGGGCUAGGACAGAUAAGGUGGGGACAGGCCAGUGAGAGAAACAAGGGAGACCAGCACACAAGGGCCUCAUACCUGGUUCCUCCAGGCCUGGCAGUCCUGUGGUUGUAUCUGUGUGUGGCCAAGCCAGUGAGACUUAGGGAUAACCUGAGACCCUGGGCAUGGCUGGCAUUGUUUACAUGAAUGUGAAUUCUGGGGGUCGCCCUGUUUGUGCUCUGAGCUGAGUAAGGCUCUCAAUAUAAACGAGGGAGAGAGGGCCCAGCAAGAUGGCUCAGCAGGUAAAGGUGCUUGCAGCCAGGUCUUGAUGACCCAAGUUCAAUUCCCAUUUGAUGGAAAGAGAACUGACUCCACUCAAGUGAUCUCCACAUGUGUAUGGAUGCAUUCACAACAGAUAAAUAAUAGCUAAUAAUAGCUAAUAAAGUCUUGUUUUCUUUUUUCUUUCUUUCUUUCUUUCUUUCUUUCUUUCUUUCUUUCUUUCUUUCUUUCUUU
rnacentral:lncRNA from 1 species